UGAACGGGCAUGACACGGAAACAUUGAAAAUAACUUAAAAUGGCUUUUCUCUGUACUAGUAUUCCAGAGCAAUCGUCCAAACAGCAUCCAUAACUUCCAAAUUUUAUUGUGCAUUGUCAUAAACGGGAUAUUGCUGGAAAGGAAUUUUUUUCUCUAUCUGUACCGUCAAGGAUCUCAAGUUCAUUUUAGAGGGCGGAGUUGACGCCUUGUCUUCACAUUUACAUGAAUAAACAUUAAAGGAAAGGCACACAUGAUAUUGAGAUAAUUUUACAAAUAUUUAAUGGACUUGUAUGUGCCUCAGGUUUAGAAGAGGUCAUUGUGGGGGGCGGAGUCAUGUGUCCCAUCUAAUAUGGCGUUUUGGCCUUUUGUCACUUCAUUUAACCGUUUUUAAGAGUACUAUCAAGGAUCUCAAGUCCA